CUAAGUUCUAGCGCUUCGGUCUUAUUUCGGCUGUGCGCUCAGGCUGCACGCCGAUAACCUCUCACACCUGUGCACCUUUUCGGUUGCGGUUUCGGCCGCUUCCGCUUUUACAUGCAACCACGAAAAGUCUAGAAUGUGACGAGAACUAUAAAGUAACAACUUUCAACAACGGAUCUCUUGGCUCUCGCAUCGAUGAAGAACGCAGCGAAAUGCGAUAAGUAAUGUGAAUUGCAGAAUUCAGUGAAUCAUCGAAUCUUUGAACGCACCUUGCGCUCCUUGGUAUUCCAUGGAGCAUGCCUGUUUGAGUGUCACGUAAACCCUCACCCCUGCGAUGUAACAGUCGCCUGCGGUGGACUUGGACCGUGCCGGUAAUCGGCUCGUCUUGAAAUGCAUUAGCUGGCGCUUUUAGAGUGCUGGGCGAACGGUGUGAUAAUUAUCUGCGCCGACUGCCCUGGGCCUCUUCAGCGGCGCUGCUUACAGCCGUCCCUUGUGGACAACUAUUUUAAAGCUUUGGCCUCAAAUCAGGUAGGACUACCCGCUGAACUUAAGCAUAUCAAUAAGCGGAGGAAUA
rnacentral:rRNA from 1 species